GGGUAACGGGGAUCAGGGUUCGAUUCCGGAGAGGGAGCCUUAGAAACAGCUACCACAUCCAAGGAAGGCAGCAGGCGCGCAAAUUACCCAAUCCAGACACUGGGAGGUAGUGACGAGAAAUACUGGGGGUGCCCCAAGUGGGUACCAUCCGGAAUGAACGUAACACAAAAAAUUCGAUGAGGAUCUACUGGAGGGCAAGUCUGGUGCCAGCAGCCGCGGUAAUUCCAGCUCCAGUAGUGUAUAUCAACAUUGUUGCGCUUAAAACGCUCGUAGUUGGAUUACAGAGUGUCAAACACGACCCUUUUAUAAAGGAUUUGUGGUCUACAGUCGCGGGCCUGUCAACUGACGGCCUUGAUAGUAGAUGACGCUCUUUUGUCGCAUUGACUUUGRCUGGCAACUUUAGUGGGGUCGGCCAAACGUUGAUGGAGUGUGCCUUGAAUAAAACAUGGUGCUCAAAGCAGGCGAAAGCUCGAGUGUAAUAGCAUGGAACGAAUAAUAGAUCUACAGCCGCUUUUGUGGUUGGAUGGUUCAUUUAGUAUUGGUGGUGAACCGGGUCUCAAUGGUUAAAAGGGACAUCUGAGGGCACUAGUACUUUGUGGCGAGAGGUGAAAUUUUUAGACCCACAAACGACUAACUACUGCGAAGGCAUUUGCCAAGAAUGUUUUCAUUAAUCAAGAACGAAGGUCAGAGGAUCGAAGACGAUCAGAUACCGUCCUAGUUUUGACAGAAAACUAUGCCAGCAUAGGCUGAGGGYGACCACCCUUACCCAGGGAAGAGUCACCUUGGUCCUUAAGGGAAACUUAGCUUUCGGGCUGCUGGGAGAAUAUUGCUGCAAGGCUGAAAUUUAAAGAAAUUGACGGAGAGGCACCACCAGGAGUGGAGCUUGCGGCUUAAUUUGACUCAACACGGGGAACCUCACCAGGUCCAGACAUUGGGAGGAUUGACAGACUGGUAGAUCUUUCAUGAUUCAGUGAUUGGUGGUGCAUGGCCGUUCUUAGUUGGUGGAGUGAUCUGUCAGGUCUAUUCCGGUAACGAGCGAGACCACGGCCUUUUCAGUUACAGCAGUUGUUGUGCAUUCAAUGGUUGCUAACUAGAGGGACAGCCGGUGAAAAGCCGGAGGAAGCGUGGCAAUAACAGGUCUGUGAUGCCCUUCGAUGUCCUGGGCUGCACGCGUGCUACAAUGGCAACAGUAGAGAGAUGCUACCUCGAGAGAGGUCGGCGAACCUGCUAAUAGUUGUCGUGAUWGGGAUUGAGCCUUGCAAUUGUUGCUCAUGAAAUAGGAAUUCCUCGUAAGCACGAGUCAUCAGCUUGUGUUGAAUACGUCUCUGCCUCUUGUMCACACCGCCCGUCGCUACUACCGAUUGAAUUGCUUCCAAAGCUGGCCGGMCCGGACUUGGCUCUUGCCGAGC
rnacentral:rRNA from 1 species